AGCCUUUCUUGGUCUUCUGGCUAAGAUCAAGUGUAGUAUCUAUUCUUAUUAGUUUAAUAUCUAAUAUGUGGGCCGUCGGCUCACUCUUUAUUAAAUUAAUUUUUUGACCGGGAGGGUCACCUGCAGUAGAUCGCUACUGGCUAGGGCCUCUCAUACGUUGCCUUGGUGUUGCACUACUGCCUUGGCCUGGCGCACCACAC